rnacentral:tRNA from 1 species
GGGUAGGUGGUGAAAUUGGCAAACACGUACGGUUCAGGGCCGUAUGCCGCAAGGCUUGCGGGUUCAACUCCCGCCCUACCCA